UAGUUUUGAAGAUUUUAAAAGAGUGCUAGUAGCCAUCGUGUGGGAAUUAACUAUUUGAUCACGUUUUAACGAAAA